GCAGUUAUCUUAGUAGUAGAGUGUUUGCCUGGCAUACAAAAUGCUCUGGUUUCAAUACCCAGUACUGCA
rnacentral:tRNA from 1 species